rnacentral:rRNA from 1 species
UGGGGAAUAUUGGGCAAUGGGCGCAAGCCUGACCCAGCAACGCCGCGUGAAGGAAGAAGGCUUUCGGGUUGUAAACUUCUUUUGCAAGGGAAGAGAAGAAGACGGUACCUUGUGAAUAAGCCACGGCUAACUACGUGCCAGCAGCCGCGGUAAUACGUAGGUGGCAAGCGUUGUCCGGAUUUACUGGGUGUAAAGGGCGUGUAGCCGGGUCGGUAAGUCAGAUGUGAAAUCUAUGAGCUCAACUCAUAAACUGCAUUUGAAACUGCUGAUCUUGAGUAUCGGAGAGGCAAUCGGAAUUCCUAGUGUAGCGGUGAAAUGCGUAGAUAUUAGGAGGAACACCAGUGGCGAAGGCGGAUUGCUGGACGACAACCUGGACGGUGAGGCGACGAAAGCGGUGGGGAGACAAACGAGGUAUUAGACUACCCGUGGUA